CUGUUAUAGAGCCUGAAGAUUUGGAUAUCAUUACAACAUCAGAUACAGAGCGAGAGGGAAAUAAUGAUGACCUUGAUCAAUGUGGGGGUACACCAAACACAGAAGAGCUUUGCAGCGUCGCUCUACCAGU